rnacentral:rRNA from 1 species
ACGGGAGGCAGCAGUAAGGAAUUUUCGGCAAUGGGGGAAACCCUGACCGAGCAACGCCGCGUGAGUGAUGAAGGUCUUCGGAUCGUAAAGCUCUGUUGUAAAGGAAGAACGUUAUAAAUAGGAAAUGAUUUAUAAGUGACGGUACUUUACUAGAAAGUCACGGCUUACUACGUGCCAGCAGCCGCGGUAAUACGUAGGUGGCAAGCGUUAUCCGGAUUUAUUGGGCGUAAAGGGUGCGCAGGCGGUUUGUUAAGUUUGAGGUGAAAGCGUUGGGCUCAACCCAAUAUAGCCUCGAAUACUGGCAAACUAGAGUGCAGAAGAGGGUAAUGGAACUCCAUGUGUAGCGGUAAAAUGCGUAGAUAUAUGGAAGAACACCAGCGGCGAAGGCGGUUACCUGGUCUGCUACUGACGCUCAGGCACGAAAGCGUGGGGAGCAAAUAGGAUUAGAUACCCUGGUA